rnacentral:miRNA from 1 species
UAGUAGGUCUGGGCGGAAUGUGUCACCAGUUACAAUUGAUGGGUUAUAAAAGCCCAUCAAUUGUAACUGGUGACACAUUCCGCCCAGACCUACUUCUA